rnacentral:misc_RNA from 1 species
GGCGUACAUCCAGUGGAUUCCAUUUCACUAUAUAUCUUGGGGACCUGAUCAAAUUUCUUAGCCCUCAAAAAAGCCUUCAUUAAAGUGCUAUAAGUAAUCACAUCAGGAGUAAUACCCAUCUCCUUUAUAUGCUGGUAAAUUGAUUGUGCCUCCAUAUGCCUACCAGCAUUCCCAAAAGCAUUUAUCAACAUAUUUAGCAUUAUAAGGUUUGGUUCCAUCCCUUCGGCUUCCAUUAUCUGUAGAACCUUCACAGUCUGCUCACAUAAUCCCUGCUGAGCAUAGGCAUGGGCCAGGACACAAAAGAUGCUAGGUGAAAGCUGAAGGCCUUCCAAUUUCAGGGCAUUUAAAC